CGAGAAAUCGGCAAUCGACCUCAUAUAAUAUUGGGAAUAUGGCCCAAAAGUUUCUACCGGAUCACCACUGUAAUGAUCUGACUAUGAGUGAAGCAUGUAUUUGG
rnacentral:ncRNA from 2 species